UAAUAGUCCUGGUUCUACAUAAGAAGCACAAAGUGCGACAAGACACCACUGACCUACAUCAAGUGAAAUAUGCUGUGGGCAGAAAAGAAAGGAAGCAGAAAAUUGGAGACAAUUCAGAUCAUCCAGAUGAUGUCCUGUAUGUCACUAUUAAAAAUCCCUGGAAGAAAAAAGAAACAAAAUUGUCCAGAGCAGACAUGAAUCCAUGCUGUCAAGAGGGAACUGUCAUCUAUUCUUCAGUCAAGUGAGCCUCAUACAUAGUGUAGUUGUUGGACUUCUAUUAAACCAUGGCAUAACAUCACGCCCUGAAAUCACACAACGUUGCUUGGAGUAAUUUACUAACAGCAAAUGAGAAAAUGAAAAACAG